UGGGGAAUAUUGGACAAUGGGCGCAAGCCUGAUCCAGCCAUGCCGCGUGAGUGAUGAAGGCCCUAGGGUUGUAAAGCUCUUUCGCCGGUGAAGAUAAUGACGGUAACCGGAGAAGAAGCCCCGGCUAACUUCGUGCCAGCAGCCGCGGUAAUACGAAGGGGGCUAGCGUUGUUCGGAUUUACUGGGCGUAAAGCGCACGUAGGCGGACUAUUAAGUCAGGGGUGAAAUCCCGGGGCUCAACCCCGGAACUGCCUUUGAUACUGGUAGUCUUGAGUUCGAGAGAGGUGAGUGGAAUUCCGAGUGUAGAGGUGAAAUUCGUAGAUAUUCGGAGGAACACCAGUGGCGAAGGCGGCUCACUGGCUCGAUACUGACGCUGAGGUGCGAAAGCGUGGGGAGCAAACAGG
rnacentral:rRNA from 2 species